GACGAACGCUGGCGGCGUGCUUAACACAUGCAAGUCGAACGGAAAGGCCCUGCUUUUGUGGGGUGCUCGAGUGGCGAACGGGUGAGUAACACGUGAGUAACCUGCCCUUGACUUUGGGAUAACUUCAAGAAACUGGGGCUAAUACCGGAUAGGAGCUCCUGCUGCAUGGUGGGGGUUGGAAAGUUUCGGCGGUUGGGGAUGGACUCGCGGCUUAUCAGCUUGUUGGUGGGGUAGUGGCUUACCAAGGCUUUGACGGGUAGCCGGCCUGGGAGGGUGACCGGCCACAUUGGGACUGAGAUACGGCCCUGACUCCUACGGGAGGCAGCAGUGGGGAAUAUUGCACAAUGGGCGGAAGCCUGAUGCAGCAACGCCGCGUGCGGGAUGACGGCCUUCGGGUUGUAAACCGCUUUCGCCUGUGACGAAGCGUGAGUGACGGUAAUGGGUAAAGAAGCACCGGCUAACUACGUG
rnacentral:rRNA from 1 species